rnacentral:rRNA from 1 species
UACGUAGGGGGCAAGCGUUGUCCGGAUUUACUGGGCGUAAAGAGCGUGUAGGCGGCCAAGCAGGUCCGUUGUGAAAACUGGAGGCUUAACCUCCAGACGUCGACGGAAACCGCGUGGCUAGAGUCCGGAAGAGGAGAGUGGAAUUCCUGGUGUAGCGGUGAAAUGCGCAGAUAUCAGGAAGAACACCAAUGGCGAAGGCAGCUCGCUGGGACGUCACUGACGCUGAGACGCGAAAGCGUGGGGAGCAAACAGG